UAUUGAAAGUAGUGUAUAGGGAC
rnacentral:siRNA from 1 species